UAACCGACUUACUCAAAAAAAAAAAAAACUAUACCGUACAAGUAGCAAUAGCAGAAUUAUCAGGAGUUGUGACAGGAGGCCGGCAGCCGUGGCCUCACCUGAAGGCUGAGUUGCUCCUGCCGCGUGUCUCCCCUGCAUCCGGCGGUGCCCGCGAACGUGCGCGUUGCAUCCGGGACGGGGAGCCACUGCAGCCACGCGCCAGCCGUGGGGAACACCACAGGCGAGCACCACAGGACACCCACCAGCGCGCUCGCCAUGCCGCAUGGACAUCGGCAUCCACUUCGCGUCGCCGAGAAUGCAUGCAUCGGUUGGGAGAGAGGCUAGUCACUUUCUCCCACUAAUACCACAUUUGCUUUUCCUGUUUUCUUGAAGGGAAAAAGAGUGGUGAGAUCAGCACAACUGAUAUAGCGUGACUAUGCCCCCAAGGUGUUUGCUCAAAUGCCAGUAAGGUCAGACACUAUCGUGAACGCAUUAGGUCUCUUGCUGCUACUGCUAUGGUAAACUUGAUCUUUUCUCAUUGCAUCCUUAUGGCCUCAACGAGUAUUUAUUUUUUUUGCAAUAGUGCCACAGUGCCACUGGUGUGGAGUACGCUGUAUUUUGCAAGGCCCUGAAAGUCUGCGUAUUUUAGUCUGCUUGAUAGGUUCUUUGAUACGCCGUGUAACUGGACAGUGCAGUACGUGCCCAGUCUCAGGAUGAGAAUAAAAAAAGGAGGAAUCAAGUUCAUCCUUGAACAUUGUCCGAGCUGCUAUUCUCAGGUUGGUGGUCUUCUUCUCCACCGAAGGUCCUAAAGUCAAAAAUACCUUCGGCAAAAUGAUACAAUAGCUUGUCGAAGCUACCUUCAGCCUCGGCUCAGCUCCUCAAGCCGAAGCUCAAUAGCUUUGGCCCAGACCUAGCAAAGAAGGAAAAGAACUAGAUAGACUUUAUUAGUUUUAAUUACUUGUAAACAAGUGUUUGGGGGCAUGGAUGUAAUCUUAUCCGGGCUACGUCCCAUGCCUAUAAAUAGAUGAACAGUGCCCUGUACUGUUAAGGCUGGAUUGCAAUCGUGCUCGAGUCAUUCUCGCUCUUUCACCUUCCGGCAAGCCGAAUGUACCAUUGUAAUAUGAAUAUUAUUAAAGUUUAUUCAUGUUUAAUGAAGAUAAAUAAAUCAUAAAUAUAUGACGGAUAUUAUCUUGA